CUGCUGCCUUCCGUAGGAGUUUGGACCGUGUCUCAGUUCCAAUGUGGGGGACCUUCCUCUCAGAACCCCUACGCAUCGUCGGCUUGGUGGGCCGUUGCCCCACCAACUACCUAAUGCGCCGCAUGCCCAUCCGUGACCGGGGUCGCCCCCUUUGGCCGGCAGGGGAUGUCCCCUCCCGGCAUUAUGUUGUAUUAGGCGGGAUUUCUCCCGGUUAUCCAUCUGUCACGGCCAGGUUGCAUACGUGUUACUCACCCGUGCGCCGGUCGCGGCGG
rnacentral:rRNA from 1 species